AUUGAACGCUGGCGGCAGGACUAACACAUGCAAGUCGAACGAGUGGCGGACGGGUGAGUAAUGUCUGGGAAACUGCCUGAUGGAGGGGGAUAAAUACUGGCAACGGUAGCUAAUACCGACUACACUCGGAUGUGCCCAGAUGGGAUUAGCUAGUAGGUGGGGUAAAGGCUCACCGAGGCGAAGAUACCAAGCUGGUCUGAGAGGAUGACCAGCCACAUGGGAACUGAGACACGGUCCAGACUCCUACGGUAGGCAGAAGUGGGGAAUAUUGCACAAUGUGCGCAAGCCUGAGGCAGCCAUGCCGCUUGUAUGAAGAAGGCCUUCGGGUUGUAAAGUACUUUCAGCGGGUAGGCGUUACCCGCAGAAGAAGCACCGGCUAACUCCGUGCCAGCAGCCGCGGUAAUAC
rnacentral:rRNA from 1 species